GGUGAACGCUGGCGGCGUGCUUAACACAUGCAAGUCGAACGGAAAGGCCCUAGCUUGCUUGUGUUCUCGAGUGGCGAACGCUUGCGUACCACGUGGAUGAUCUGCCCUGCACUUCGGUAUAAGCUUGCGUAACUGGGUCUACUCCCGUAUAGCACCCCAUUUUCGAUUGUGUGGUGGAGAUUUUAUCGGUGUGGGGUGUGCUGGCGGCCUAUCAGCUUGUUGGUGGGGUAAUGGCCUACCAAGGCGUCGACGGGUAACCGGACGUAGAGGGUGUACGGCGACAUUGGGACUGAGAGACGGCACAGACGCCUAAGGGAGGAAGAAGUGGGGAAGAUUGAACAAGGGGCGCAAGCCGGAUGCAGAGACGCCGCGGGGGGGAUGACGGCUUUCGGGUUGAAAAAUACUUGCGCGAGGGAAGAAGCGUGAUGUGACGGUACCUGGAGAAGAAGCACCGGCUAACUACGUG
rnacentral:rRNA from 1 species